rnacentral:sRNA from 1 species
AGUAUCUCGCGAGAAAUUGAAGAGGAAACGUGAGAAUGAAAGUGGAUGCCCGCGAAUCCCGGAAGUCAGACAGUUCUUUCAGUUCCUUGGAGGCUUUUUGAUGCCGAUUCGCGUACACCUGUUGUUUGAAAGCUCUCAGCGGGACAAUGCUGACCUGGAGACAGGUCCUUGAUAUGUUUCCCAGUCUGGUCUUGAACUGGGAAAUGAUCCUCUUGCCUCGUCCCUGCAAAACAUGAGCCAGCUGGAGUACAGUGGCGCGAUCUCAGCUCACUGCAACCUCCACCUCCUGAGUUGAAGCGAUUCUCCCACCUCAGCCCCCUGAGUAGGUGGGGUUACAGGAGCACACCACCACUCCCGGCUAAUUUUUGUAUUUUUAGUAGAGACGGGUUUCCCAUGUUGGCCAACGUGGUCUUGAACUCCUGACCUCAUGUGAUCCUCCCGCCUCUGCCUCCCACAGUGCUGGGAUUACAGGUGUGAGCCACCCGUCUAGCCCCUACAGUGACUUUUUAAAAUUAAUUUUGUUCCUUUUGACAGUUUCUUUAUCCCCAGUAGAUUCUAUUUUAACCUUUGCUUCACAUUUGGAAAAUAAUUAUUUGGAAAAACCUUGCUUUUUCAUAACUAGGUAAUGUAGUACAGUUUUGGUACAUGUAAGGUAUUGCUUCCAUUUCAAGAACUAGUAAUUAUUCAAAAAAAGUGUUCUUGUCUUGAAAAAAGACCUUGCUAAUGUUGACAUUCAGUAAAUUUGUAAUGUCA